GUGCUUACUUUGGCAGCACAAAUACUAAAGUUGGAAUGAUACAGAGAAGAUGAGCAUGGCCCCCUGGACAAGGAGGACCUGCAAAUUCAUAAAUCAUUCCAUAUUUUU
ensembl:snRNA U6 U6 spliceosomal RNA